rnacentral:lncRNA from 1 species
AGAGUAUUUUCAGUAGGGUCAAUGAUUCUUUCCUGCUGAGAUAUGCCACUAUUCAAUUAGGGAGUGUUAUCACUAAGUAGAUUUGAUGUCUCUCCUACCGCUCUUUGACUAUUCUUCAUUCGUCGUGGAGGCAUAUUGACCUAUGACAGAUUUGAGAUGAUAACUUAUCCUUAAUAAAGUUAUAAACUUACUUAAGACAGGUUAGAUCAUAAUCAUCAUAACUAACCUUUCAAAUUUUUUAAUAUCUAUCCAUCACUCGCUC